ACCCCACGUGCCCAAAAAUGUGCACAACAAUAUUUUUCCUAAGUUUCCCCAAUCUCAACAUCUAAAUACUACAAAUUACUACCGUAACCAAUCACUAUAGAACAAAAAAGUACACAACUGAAUACCUUAGAAGAAGCAUCGGAGGAAGGAGAACGGAAGUAACGGUGAGACGGAUUGUCGAGGAAAAACACCGAGGAGGAUUCAUCAGCAACCUGAGAUCAAAAGUUUCAAACAUUAAAUUCAGAAAUUUUACAAUUUAAUCGAUCCAAAUACAAAACGAAGAAAAACACUUACAGUAGAAUGAAGGAAGAGAGAGAGAAGUAUUAGAAAGGUGAAUGUGCGUGAAGAUUUUUUUGGAUCCAUUGCUUAGAGAGAGAAAGAGAAGAGAGAGAGAGAUGGGGGGUUUGAAUCUGAUGAAUCUGAUCUAUGUGGUUUUGGGAGGAAGAAGAAAUUGAGAUUGAAGGACAUUUAGAAUCACAAUACGACGACGUACUAAAGUUGUAGCCAGGGUCCUU
rnacentral:lncRNA from 1 species